UCCCUCAGUAACGGCGAGUGAAGCGGGAUCAGCCCAGCACCGAAUCCCCCGGCCGGCAGGCCGGCGGGAACUGUGGUGUGCGGGACGCCGCCAGUCGCGCGCGCCGACACCGAAGUCUUCCUGAUAGGGGCCUCUCCCGCGGCGGGUGUAAGGCCUUUGCGGGUGCCUCGGCGCGCGGCCGCGAGCGUCCCAGGAGUCGGGUUGUUUGGGAAUGCAGCCCUAAGCGGGUGGUAAACUCCAUCUAAGGCUAAAUACUGGCGCGAGUCCGAUAGCGGACAAGUACCGUGAGGGAAGGUUGAAAAGAACUUUGAAGAGAGAGUUCAAGAGUACGUGAAACUGCCCAGAGGUAAACGGCCGGACCCGCAGAGUCGGCCGUCGGGAUUCAGACCGGAUCGGGUCCGGGGCGCGGCGGGCGGUGCGGAUCUCACGACCGCCCCCGCCCGCGCUCGCCGCCCGGCUCCGGGUGCACUUCCCGUCGGUCGAGCGCCACGACCGGCUCCCCGCCGGCCACGAGCCCGGCGAGGAAGGUGAGCGGACCGCGCCGCGGUUCCGCCGUUACAGCCUGGCCGCGGAUCGGGCCCGGCGAGGGGCCGAGGGGAAUCCACCGCGCUCCGGCGCGCGGGCCGCCGGGUC
rnacentral:rRNA from 1 species